rnacentral:rRNA from 1 species
CCUACGGGAGGCAGCAGCUAAGAAUCUUCCGCAAUGGGCGAAAGCCUGACGGAGCGACACUGCGUGAAUGAAGAAGGUCGAAAGAUUGUAAAAUUCUUUUAUAAAUGAGGAAUAAGCUUUGUAGGAAAUGACAAAGUGAUGACGUUAAUUUAUGAAUAAGCCCCGGCUAAUUACGUGCCAGCAGCCGCGGUAAUACGUAAGGGGCGAGCGUUGUUCGGGAUUAUUGGGCGUAAAGGGUGAGUAGGCGGAUAUAUAAGUCUAUGCAUAAAAUACCACAGCUCAACUGUGGACCUAUGUUGGAAACUAUAUGUCUAGAGUCUGAUAGAGGAAGUUAGAAUUUCUGGUGUAAGGGUGGAAUCUGUUGAUAUCAGAAAGAAUACCGGAGGCGAAGGCGAACUUCUGGGUCAAGACUGACGCUGAGUCACGAAAGCGUAGGGAGCAAACAGGAUUAGAUACCCUGGUAGUCUACGCUGUAAACGAUGCACACUUGGUGUUAACUAAAAGUUAGUACCGAAGCUAACGUGUUAAGUGUGCCGCCUGGGGAGUAUGCUCGCAAGAGUGAAACUCAAAUGAAUUGACGG